AACGAACGCUGGCGGCGUGGAUAAGACAUGCAAGUCGAACGGGAUUCCUUUCGGUAGCAAUACUGAGAGGGAUUUAGUGGCGAACGGGUGCGUAACACGUGGGGAAUCUGCCGAGAAGUGGGGGAUAGCUCGUCGAAAGGCGAAUUAAUACCGCAUAUGAUCAGGGAAGACAUCUUUCCAACAUCAAAGCCGGGGCAACCUGGCGCUUCUUGAUGACCCCGCGGCCUANCAGCUAGUUGGUGAGGUAACGGCCCACCAAGGCUAUGACGGGUAGCUGGUCUGAGAGGACGACCAGUCACACUGGAACUGAGACACGGUCCAGACACCUACGGGUGCAGCAGUCGAGAAUUUUUCUCAAUGGGGAAACCCUGAAGGAGCGACGCCGCGUGGAGGAUGAAGGCUUUUCGGGUCGUAAACUCCUGUCAUUUGAGAACAAGUGUAGCUAAGUAACUACUGGCUACUUGAUAGUAUC
rnacentral:rRNA from 1 species